ACAAGCUCACCUACGGCAGCAUGGCCUCUAUAAGAACUCUUAAGGAAGGAAAAAAAGUGUGAACAGGCCUGAAACUGUCAGAGAGGGCAUUUGCCCCAAAAGGUUUCUGGGGGAUGUUGAUAACCAGUGAGAUUGAACAGUAAGUGGGAAACUACAGGGAGAGUUUUGAAACAAAGGAGGAGUUUGUUUGAACACAAGUAUAAAACAAGCACGAAAAUUCAUAGUGGUGUGGAGAGACCACAUUGGAUUGGAGGCAGCAGCAGUGAAAAUUGGUUUGAUGCUGCCUGAAGUCACUUUCCAAACUCUGUCUGGGUCAAAGCAACCACUCUGAUGGACACCACAAGAAGCCCACCUGUGGCUGGGACUGAUGACUUGGUGGGUAACACCUGGGACUCACACCUCAGGUGAAUGUGUGUGUGAGUUCAAAUGGUGCUUUCUCAUUAAUUAGUGGGUUAAAAGGAGAAACGCAUGUGCUCACAAAAUCCAAGUGAACAUGUUUCCAACCAGAGCUGUGUGGAAAUGCAGAUACCUGUGUUUCCAGGAGAGGUGGGAGGGCACUUGCAAGCUACAUCUCUGUCAAAAGUGCAAUAAUCACCAGUGCUCUCAGGGUAGAAGUAGACUGUGGUUGCAGCUACUGGAAUGAAACUACUGUUUUGCAGAGUAGUGAUCCCCAGCCACAAGACAGAGACAUGGCACCAGAUGUCAGAUAUUUAUUUG